GUGCCAGCCGCCGCGGUAAUACGUAGGGGGCGAGCGUUAUCCGGAUUUAUUGGGCGUAAAGGGUGCGUAGGCGGUUUAUUAAGUCUAAGAUUAAAGCCCGAGGCUUAACCUCGGUUCGUCUUAGAAACUGAUAGACUUGAGUAUGGUAGAGGCAAGUGGAAUUUCUAGUGUAGCGGUUAAAUGCGUAGAUAUUAGAAGGAACACCAGUGGCGAAGGCGGCUUGCUGGGCCAUCACUGACGCUGAGGCACGAAAGCGUGGGGAGCAAAUAGGAUUAGAUACCCUAGUAGUCCACGCCGUAAACGAUGAGUACUAAGUGUCGGGUAACCGGUGCUGAAGUUAACACAUUAAGUACUCCGCCUGAGUAGUACGGUCGCAAGGCUGAA
rnacentral:rRNA from 1 species